GCUGGUGUAGCUCAGUCGGCAGAGCGCGUCCUUGGUAAGGACGAGGUCUCGGGUUCAAAUCCCGACACCAGCUCCA
rnacentral:tRNA from 1 species